AGUGCAACUGCUGGAUCAUAUGGUAAGAUAUGUGUAGUUUUGUAAGAAACUGCCAAAUUCUCUUCUAAAGUGGCUGUACCAUUUGCAUUUCCAUCAGCAAC
rnacentral:pre_miRNA from 1 species